UUUACGUCUUUUUAAUAGUCUGUGGCUGGCCACCAGCAUGCAGAUGAAGACGGAGCUGGUUUAACGUGACCGAAUCCGAAACCCAAGGGAAUAUCCUGUUCUCCGGAGAAACAAUUCCGAGGAGCGUCCAUGUCAGCCUCGGGCGUCUGCAGCCCGUCUGCGCCCCGUCCGGCGGUGAGGAGAGCCCAGCAGCACAAGGACAGUACCCCUCCUUCUAUCUCAUCACUCAACGUCUGGGGAUUUCCUCCCAAACAGACCACAUGCGCUCAAGCCACGGGUACUGCUCUAGAAUGAACCCCAAAGAGGACGACCGGUCAAAAUCCCCACCUGUUCUUACGGCUGGUGCAUGGAGAAGCCCUACGAGGACACAGCAAAAAGCAGCUGUCUGCAAGCCAGGAGGAGGAGAGCUGUCACCAGGAACCAGCCCUACUCACAACUUGAUCUCGGAAUUCCAGCCUCCAGGACGGAAUAGGAAGACAUCUGUGCCCCAGUGUGAUCUGGGAUGUCUUCACCACCACCGGAGAGAUGGACGUUCUCAGCUCUCAGAAGCUGUGUUAAACAUUAUCAGAAUUUGUCUGCUAAGGAAACAAUUUGGGCUGAGUAGCUAACUCCUUAGACACCUUAGCCUGAAGGACAUCCAGAAACGACUUCACUCAUGCUUUGAAGAGGGGACAGUCAGGGCGCCGUGCUGGCCCAACCAUUCUUCGCCUCCCCUGGGAUCACUUUACUGCAUACUUAGAACCCGGAAAGGGAAAGAGAGAAACAAAGCAAGAGAAAUAAA